rnacentral:rRNA from 1 species
UCCUAUCCGUUCGUCGUGUCGUCCUGUGUGUCAAGACUUUCGGAGUAAAGGGUUCUUUUAUUUUCGAGAGUUUGGGAGUUUAUAGUCGUGUUGGUCUAUAUGGGUACCGUAAGAACCCAUCAUCAUCUCGACGGCCGGCAGAGUACCACGAGGAGGUCUACCGAGAGAAGCAGUAGCAGAGCCGCGAGUAGUACUUGUCGAGGAACACGGAACGUCGCCGGCCGGUCCUACUGUAACGUCCGAGACCCAGAGCCACAUAGCCUGUCUUUACGAGACCCCCUUGAGUAACGACGGCACCACAUGGUGACCAACCACUGGCUGGGAUUAAUCGUUAUCUAAUCUCCACCCGCACGCCGUUCGGUACACUGUGUACAGAAAGAAAGGCAUACUUAUUUACCAACUUAUUUCACAAAACAGAUAUGUCGGUCCCCAGCCCCAUAAGAAAUAACUUUAUACUAGAAUAAAGUUUUUCUCUAACGAAGUAAAAUAUACCUUUUAGUUUAUGUCGUUUUUUUUGAAGAUGUUGGGCUACCCGUUUAUGUGGAACGGCUUCGUUCUUUUGGUUUUGUGUUUUUUGUGGGAGUUGUAUCACUGAUAUGUUGCGUUUCUAGUUGGAGGAUUCGUUCCAUCAACCCUCUACGUCGUGGCCAAUAGACCACGUGGCCCCGUUAACCACGAUGGCCGCGUGACCUGGGACUAUGUGUAAGUUUUUACAAGUUUUUUUUAGGGUUUUAUUAAAUCACGUAACUGUGUUAUAGUUUCAUACAACAGUGUUUUAAAGUUUAGUUUUAAGUUUUGUAACGAGCUCUAUGUUUUUACUGUUUAAACUGUAGUUACACGAUUACCCGUUUUUGAUUUCGGGUUGACCACAAUACAUGAUAAGCCACAGUAAAAACAGUAAAAACAUACAGCUCGUUACAAAGUUUAAAAAUAAACUAAAAAAACUGUUGUAUGUAACUACAACACAGUUACGUGAUUUUAAAAGGACCUAAAAAAGCUCGUAAAAAAAUACACGGUGUCCCCUGGCCACGUGGCCAACGUGGUUAACGGGACCACGUGUGGUAUUCACUUUCUCUGUCCUAUGACUCCGUUGUUAUGAAUUGCGGGUUCGUGUUGUGUCUCUACUUGAGUCUUUCGGUAUGCUACGCAUGAGGAUGUAGUUGUUGAGGCUUUGGUGGUUGUAUCCUAUUGUGCACAACUGUAGCCUAAAACCACACCUCCCACACCGUACGGGCCAACGCCUCCCCGGACCGGAUGUGCUUGCGUUUCCCAGAACCAGAAGGGUCUGAGAAAGGCAGCGACUAAGAAUGUACACUCACACCCCACCCUGCACAUUGUCGCCAAAGGGAGGGGCCACGUAGGUAUUUUCGAUAAACACACGAGCUGUUAAACUGUACCGGAGGGUGUACGAAGGAGAGCGAAGCGAGGAAAGCACUCGAAGAAACAACCAGGAGUACACACAGCCACACUCGAACCGUAGGUAACUGCUCCACCGGUAGUGAUGCGAGAGUUUCAUCCGUUGCCACCGCCCUUCGGUGCCGCCGCUCACCAACAAAAAACAAAAUAGUCCCUUUCCAAACCCUCCUCCGACACCACCGUACAAAAACGUUCGAAGAAGGGCACUAGGGAAACAGGCCCUCCUCCUGUAUCAGCGCCGCUCGUGUCUUGGGACGUACACAACUCCGGAAGAAGGGUAACAAACCAAGGUCACCAAGAUCCUGGCGAAACCUAGAAGCCCGAAUGGGUAAACAACAACUAGAUAUUUCCCUAACAGGUUUGUUAUCUUGAACUUUAUAAUACUACAAACUCACAACGGACAACAAUACGUAAUACAAAGUAAAAGGUAAGUAUAGUGUUAUUCUCUCAUUAGUUUACUUUGUUGAUUUGGCCGUCUAUUUUGUUCGUAGUGUAUUUCGUACGGGAAGUUCUCUAACUCUCUAUAUCUCAACCGACCUAUACACAACCCUACCAAACACACACUAGGAAAGAGACCAUCACCCUAAACUACCGCUGCGACACCCCGAGCAAGAAGUCGACGAGAACCUGCCUACGCCUCCCCCGUAGACGAUGAGGGCAUCCUCAACAACCUAAAGUGAAUUCUCCUUCCCACUACAUCGUGUCACCGUUUUUUCAUAAAAAGAAUCAAUUCUUAGUUCCAAAUAGCUUAUCAUCCUCCGUAGUGUGAUUGUUACAAUCGUCAUGGACGUGUGUUUGUGUUGUCUACAAACGUGGGUUGUUUCCGUUCCCCCAGUAGUGAGGGGAACAAUAACGAUCUAUGUUCUAUUUUUCGACCAUCACUAUCCGUUUUGCCGUUUUUCAUGUUUCCGUUUAUUCAUCGUUAACAUCUUCGAAAACAUAACUACCUUUUAUCUGGGUACCCGGUAUCCAAGUGACCACCGUAGAGGGCUUUCGUAUCGUUACCACACAAUCUGUCUAAUGAUAACCCGUUAACUGUAUUAACACGUAUCAAUAUUAACACUAGUAAGUACCGUAUUAGAGUAUAUCCGUAAUACAGACAUUGUUCAUCUGGCAAUUAGGUUAACGUAGAUGAUAAUAAUGAGGUGGGGUUCUGACGAUAGAUCGUACGUAGAGUUUCAUCUUUCAAGCACUAUCGCGAUAUUUACAUACUUUCGAGAUAUAUACUUCGAUUCACCUACACGUAGGUUUAAUGAACGAGUACUUCUGGAGCUCGUAUACUCUUUUGACCAGUAACCUUAUCACUUCAAGAUAUUACAUUUAAAGAGUGAUCAUAUACUUUUACUUCUAGCACUCCUGAGAGAUAUACUUUACGUACCACGAUGAAACUUCGUGUUCACACCAUUCUCCUAUCACUACACGGGGGGAGAUAUAAAAAGAG